CUGUGCACCUCCGCCUACCCGACUCAGCAGGAAGCGGAAGUGAGGCUGGCUGGGCUCGGCUGGGGGCAACCGGCUGGGCGCCUCGCGGUCCGCCCGACCACAUGCUUCCCUCGACGGGCCCCCGGGGUCGCUGCUGCAGCUGGAGGUGACGGAAAGGGCGGCACUGCACCGGGGCUUCACAUUCCCGCAGAGAGUCCAGGGGCAUCCCAGCUGCAGACACCGCCACAUACCACUUGUUUCUCUAGAAGACCACGUCUCUUCUGUUGGUGGAUACAAAGCUCUGGAUGCUCUUCUGGAUUCCUUGCCCCAUCCAGAUGGAGAACUCUCAGCUACCUCACCAGCAUUAUGUCUUCAUGCCGCCGUGCUCCCUACCGUGAUGGCGGUGGACUAAACCUCCGAAACUGGGACAGAGGGAGCGGGCAGGUCAGACGAUUUUUCCUCUGAAAGUCAGAAUUAUGGGGAAGACCUUGCUUGGACUCUGGUUCUGUCGUCAAGGCCCACACACUCUUCCCUCGUCAUUAACUGUGUGUGCAGCUUCCUGGGUUGCAAUGGGAAGCGGAACACAGCUUCCUCCUGGUCUCACCACAGUGCACACGACGGAAAAGGGCAAAGAUACUGGUGCCAAUAUCAAAACAGGCUGGGGAGAUGGCUAAGCCAGUAAAGAGCUUGAUGGCAGGAAGAUCUGGAGCAGACUCCCCCCCCCCACCUACACAAAAGCCAGGCUCGGUGACACACUCCAGUAAUGCCACCUCUGGGGAGGCAAUGUCAGGAGCGUCCCCAGGACUUGCCGACCAGCCAGUCCAGACGAAUGCGCGAGCUCCAUGCUCAGCAAGAGGCUCUAUCAAGAAAAUAAAGCGGAGGUUGGAUGAGACAGCUCAGCAGAGGGCAGCAAGGACGUCAUACUCCAGAGAUGAUGUGUUACCUGGAAACACCACCCGCUACGCUGGCCAGUGCUCCGCUCCAUUGCCAAAAUGGGAUUAGCAACACCUUUGAGUCUCAAAAUCAGACACUUAUGUGACUGGUUUGGGGCUACAGCUGUCCCCAGUUGAGACAUCCUCCAGGCCUGCUGUGGAGACAGGCUGAGGAAGUGGACGUGUAGGGCGUUGAUGAUAAAUCCACUGCACCACAUGGAUUCCCAGAACAUUCCACAUACGUUAUGCCAAGAAGGUUUGGAAGUAGAUCCUGGAGUCCUACUCCAGCUACCCAGCCACCCCUGUGCCCUGGGAGGGCAGUCGCCUUCUCCCCUUAGGACUGAGCCCUUCAACCUGCCAGCCAACCUUUCUGUAAAUGGAUAAGAUUCUUAUGAAAACUAAACUUACGGACAGAAGAGCAUUGAAAUGUUCGGGUUCAUUUGCAAACGGAAAUGACUGCUUCUUUUCCGAGCUCUACAGCUCCACAUGGAGUGAAAAAAAAAAAAAUAAAACCUGGCUUCACACUCAGCCAACCGACUACUUUUCUAUGUUGGAGCGAGUCCCUGCGUGCUUGGUAGGGAAGUUUACUGCAGACUGAAUGGUAACGCAUGAGAGAGUGGAGACCAGCACCUGAGCACAGGGUCCUAGGCUAAGAGGGUGGUUGGGCACUCAAAACCAAGAGUCACACCUGGCCUAGAUAGGGCUCAUCUUUGCCGGCCACUUGCAACAUGAUGCCCCGCGUCGAGGGCUUAGAUUACACAUAGGAACACUGCAAAACACGAUUUAAAAGUGCGCCUUCUGGGGUUGGGGAGAUGCUGAUAAACCGGCCUGCCUCCACCUGAGGUAAAGCCAUCUUAUAGUAAAGACACACUAGGCUCAUUCCUGUUUCUGAUUACAUCACUGUUUCUUAAGGAUUGGGGUAGCCCCACCUGUAAGUUUAACUACAAACGAUUCUGUACUGCCUGUUCCAGGAAUGUAAUCACAUUUUUGUUUCAAAAAGUUGUUAAGGCCGCUUUGCAACUAUGUCUUUGUUUCAGGGGUUGUUAUGACCAACCUACCCUUAUGUUCCGCUUCUGUAACUCUACCUAUUUGCCUGACAAAUCCCCCAUUUGGAAAUUCUCUCUCAUCCAUCUACAGCCAUCCCACCCUGAGCACACCUGAUCUCGUCUGAACGACCCCCUACUCCUAAACUACAAAAACCCUUAUCUUUCCUAUGUCCAGUGCUGAUCUCUUGAACCCAUCUUUAAGGAGAG